AUCUGGCUGGUGCAGGAAGCAUGGGAGGGAGCCGUGCGGCUUGUUCACUCUCGCCCUGCCCAUGGCCUCAUACUGGGCCUUGGGUUGGGGGCUGGAAGUCGGGGGGUAGCUAGUCUCCCCCUGCUCCGGUCGCAGUGAGGUGUCUCCUCUCAGACCCACGCGAAUGAGAAUUGUUCACUGCAUCACGGCAAGGUGGGGGCGUCUCUGCCCCAGGCUGCUGGGUCGCUGCCAGCAAACCCCUGCCUCGGCCAGGGUGAAGCUGUCUGGGAUCCAGGACCGCUGACUGACUCUGGUUCAGGGCUUACCCCCUUGUGUUCAUUCCCCGCAGAGCCCUGUCCCCGCCUCCUCCGCUACGGGUUGAAAUGGGAAAGUCCGCAGCUUGAUUCUGCAAGCUCCUGUCACCGGCUCGGUCCCAUUCACUCCCUCUCACUGGACCACAAGAUGCUGCCGUCCUUGUUUGCGAACGGGGGCGCGGGCUCUGAGAACACGCAGUUGGUGAACCCAGGUGGGAGCUGAAGGCAGCGGGGAGACACGAUCUGGCCCAGCCCUGCAUGCGUCUCAGCCUGCCAAUUGUUCCUCCCCACAUGUUCUUGUCAACUGCUGGAAAUGGCCCACCUGGAUUAUCACUACAAAAGGUCCCCGCUCUCCUGCUGGUAAAAGCUCACCUUAAGUGAUCACUCUCCUUACAGUGUGUAUGGUAACACCCAUUGUUUCAUGUUCUCUAUGUAUAUAAAUCUCCCCACUGUAUUUUCCACUGAAUGCAUCCGAUGAAGUGAGCUGUAGCUCACAAAAGCUUAUGCUCAAGUAAAUGGGUUUGUCUCUAA